AAAAUGUUCUUGCAAAAAAAGGAAAUUUUAUACCUAAAAACACCUAAUCCCAAAUAGUGGUAAAGGAAAGGUAAGGCUGAUUAAAUUCCACGAACUAAGAAAGCUUAAGGGGAGAAAUACUUCAGCUUAGAGUAAAAAUAAUUUUAUAUAUAGGAGAUUUAGCUCCCUCUCGUCAUAUUUCUCGCUUAACUGAUAAUGGCACAUUAAAAUUCUGCGGGGAGACUUAUUACGUAACUCGAGCGGGACCCUCGCAAAGCCUUGAUAACCCGCCGACUGCUCAGGAAAUGUAGUUACAGUGCUCAAAUGACACAUGCAUGAUGCGAUUACAAUUAUAUGAAUAUGUAUAGGCACCCUGGAUCAGACUAAAAGCUGAGGGAGAAACGACAAUAAUUUAAUGCAAUGAAAAGCCGGACAGUUAAAAUGUGGUAUUGUUAAAUCAAGAGAUGUUGCAGUUUCGAUCUCUUGCAUUGCAAUUUGCAGACAUAUUUACGGUCAUACGCUUUUAGACGUAGUAUAGGAAUAAUUCUUUCAAUUCUUCAAUUUUUAGUUGAAAACUUUUUACACUUUAAGAAAUUAAUUUUAAUUUUCUAUCGGUAUUCGCUGGAUUAUGCAGUUGGUCAUAGAUUUCCCUAGAGAGCAGCAGGCAACAUUUUUGCUGUGUGAUCUUUGUGAUUCGGGUGGAGUCACUUGGUAGAGCAGUUUUGUUUAAAGACCUUUGGUCCUCAACUACAAGUUUAUUUUCUUUCAAUCGGUAUAAAUCUACCACCAUACUGAAGCAACGGUAAUUUUCUCACUUCAUUCAGUUUAAAACAAUUUUAAGGUAUUAAAAUUUACCUUUGAACUACUUGUUACUACUAUUGGCGGAAAAUGCGUGCCUUUCAAUGACCAUUCUUAUUAUUUAUGUUUUUUCACAAAACUUCUUAACUUCACUUCACAACAUCAGUUUUCAUUAUUUAUAUACUAAGUUUAGAAACACAAUUUAAGUAUACAGUCGUAUUAAGCGUACACUCAUACUUCAGCUCACAGUCGCGCUGAUUUAUAUAGCAAUUUGGCAACACUCGAAUAUUCUGGUCAAUUAUGGAACAUUCCCUAUUCUAAAUAUGUCGAGCUGUCCCUAACUUUCUGCAGCAUCUCGCUGGCUGCGUUGCCACCAAAUAUCGUUUUUUCUCGCUGGCCGCAAUACCAUUAUAUUCCCAGUCAUCACUUUUACUUAGUCAUUUUUUUCCUGCGUUUGCAUUUUUUCUUUGGCUCUCAAAACUCUCUGCUGGCUUAUAGUUGGCAUCUCUCUCAUCUGGUAAAUCUCUUCGGUAAUUUUCUUUUAAACUGUAUUCAACUUUCAGGUGUCUCGUUAUCUAAAUUAUUGUCGGUUUGUCUUUUUGCUGAAUUAUAUCACUAACAUGAUUUUUCGUGCUGCUUUAGUUAAUAUUCAUUGUUUAAGGCAGCAAUUUUAUAUUUUUGUGUACAUUAUCUAUUACAAGAGAUGGUUUAGUUUCAUCUGACUGUUAAUCAUGGGCAGAAUUUAUAUUUUCCGGCAGGUCCUAAUUAUUAGUUUCAUAUUGUACCAUGCAGAAACGGGUUUUGCAUUCCAUGCGAGUUGUUUCAUUAAAUAUAACAUAUUGUCGUACAUUUGAAUUAUGAUGUUUAUAUUAAGAUCUUGUAUGAAAAUUUAGCGGAACUAUUAAAUGAAAUACCGUUUUCUAGGUUGGGAAUAUUUCCCUCAACUAUAAUUCUCGACGGUUUAUCGAAUAGCUAAGCCAGUAUUUCCCUCAAAAACGGACAGGCACCAAUGGCACCAAUGGCUCCAACCUCGUCCGCCUGAUUCAACUUCCUUAGAACCUUCGUUGUGGGGAUUUUAAAAAAGUGGUGACGAAUUACGGCCUAUUCCCAACCUCAAUGCUGUAAGGGCAAUGAAGAAACUAUGCCAAAUUUGCAUAAGAAAAUGGCAGACAGUAGAAUAUUUUUUGUAAUUUGUCUAAAUUGUUACUUGUUUCGACUAAUUAUUUUUACUGUUGAAUUGUUAUUAAAACUGAUAUUUUUUGUA